rnacentral:rRNA from 1 species
GAUGAACGCUAGCGGGAGGCCUAACACAUGCAAGCCGAGCGGUAGAGUUUCUUCGGAAACUUGAGAGCGGCGCACGGGUGCGUAACACGUGUGCAACCUACCUUUAUCUGGGGGAUAGCCUUUCGAAAGGAAGAUUAAUACCCCAUAAUAUAAUGAUUGGCAUCAAUUAUUAUUGAAAACUCCGGUGGAUAGAGAUGGGCACGCGCAAGAUUAGAUAGUUGGUGAGGUAACGGCUCACCAAGUCAAUGAUCUUUAGGGGUCCUGAGAGGGAGAUCCCCCACACGCGUACUGGGACACGGACAAGACUCCUACGGGAGGCAGCAGUGAGGAAUAUUGGACAAUGGGUGAGAGCCUGAUCCAGCCAUCCCGCGUGAAGGAUGACGGUCCUAUGGAUUGUAAACUUCUUUUAUACAGGGAUAAACCUACCCUCGUGAGGGUAGCUGAAGGUACUGUACGAAUAAGCACCGGCUAACUCCGUG